UUUAACUGGCCUAAGGUAACUUUACCGGAGCCAGCUAACUUUUGAAGGAGUAACCUCUGUCACAACAUUUGGAAUAGCUGCUUGAAAUGUGAAGAGAUGUCCAAAACAAAAAACAGAUUAUGAUUACGCUGUCAGAGUAAAUGCCUUCAAGGGAGCAGGGACAGAUCUGGGGAAGGAACCAGCCAGGAGGGUGUCACGGUAAAUUUUCCAGGACUGGGCUCGGGGCCAACCUUGUCUUCAGAUGUGACAGUUCUGGGCUUCAGUCUGGAAAAGCCUGCUGUUGCCAUUCUUGCCGCAUUACCUGGACAGUCACAAUGCCACCGCGGCAUGAAGACGUGAAAACCAGACUUUGGAAGAGAAUGUGCCGUCCUAAACCAGAGGAUGUGGGAGAUAAAUGCAGUCAACAGAAUGAAAGCCAGCGGUUCCCAAGGGCAGCAACCUACUGUCUAACCCCCCACUGUGAGGAACUUACUCCAUCAGCAGGGCCUGAGUGCACUUCAAAUAGAGGCCCAAAGAUUAUCGGCGUGGGAGCAGAUCUCUCUCUCUCUCUCUCUCUCUCUCUCUCUCUCUCUCAACUGCUUUACUUCAAGCAUCUUGACACAAGGCUUCAUACUUCUGUCACGAAGAAGAAUUACACCUGACAGUCCGCUUACAGGCGUGUAAGAAUGUGUGUGUGCACACAGGAAUGCACUGAGCUCAAAGCAUCCACAUGUUGUUCAAAUUUUACUGACAAUAUUAGAAAGUCAGUACUGAUGAACAUGUCACAGUUACUUUGACAUCUCUAUGUUCU